UGCGUAGGUGGCCUUUUAAGUUGGAUGUGAAAUACCCGGGCUUAACCUGGGGGGUGCAUCUAAUACUGGGAGGCUAGAGUGCAGGAGAGGAAAGCGGAAUUCCUAGUGUAGCGGUGAAAUGCGUAGAUAUUAGGAGGAACACCAGUGGCGAAGGCGGCUUACUGGACGGUAACUGACGUUGAGGCUCGAAAGCGUGGGGAGCAAACA
rnacentral:rRNA from 1 species